UUAAUUUGUUACAAAGUGAAGAAUCUUACUUGGGGUUUAACAUGCGGUGGACCCCUCUUGAAAUAGAGUUGUCUCUGGGAAUUGGAUACAGCUUGUGCAUGAUUGUUGUCAGCCCGUGCCGCAAUAUAUGGGGUUAAGUCUUGCAAUGAGCGCAUAACCCUUGUGUUUAAUUGUCGCUGCCGGUAAUAAAUAGGAAGAAGGUGAGGUGAGAAUUACAAGUCAUAGUGCCCCUUAAGGAG
rnacentral:ncRNA from 1 species